CCUACGGGUGGCAGCAGUAGGGAAUAUUGCUCAAUGGGGGAAACCCUGAAGCAGCAACGCCGCGUGGAGGAUGAAGGUUUUCGGAUUGUAAACUCCUUUUGUUAGGGAAGAUAAUGACGGUAUCUCACGAAUAAGCACCGGCUAACUCCGUUCCAGCAGCCGCGGUAAUACGGAGGGUGCAAGCGUUACUCGGAAUCACUGGGUGUAAAGAGCGCGUAGGCGGGAUAGCAAGUCAGAUGUGAAAUCCUAUGGCUUAACCAUAGAACUGCAUUUUAAACUGUUAUUCUAGAGUACGGGAGAGGUAGGUGGAAUUCUUGGUGUAGGGGUAAAAUGCGUAGAGAUCAAGAGGAACACUAAUGGCGAAGGCGACCUGCUAGAACAUAACUGACGCUGAUGCGCGAAAGUGUGGGGAGCAAACAGGAUUAGAUACCCGGGUAGUC
rnacentral:rRNA from 1 species